ensembl:lncRNA
UUUUAGUCACAAUGAAGUCAAAGGAUGCUAUUGUUUCUACACAGCAUUUUUAACACAUGUAAAUGCAAAAGGGCAGGUUCAUACUGCAAGCACUUUGCAAUCAACACAUUGUGACAGAAUUAGAAAUGAAAUGGAGAAAAGAUGGCUUGAAAUAUUAGAAAACGAAGAGAAAAAAGGUCUCCUAGAAUCUGUGUCAUACACAUAUAAUACAAAUGUUAGGCUGUUCUAGCUCCUGAAAAUGCUGUUUUGUAGAGAUUUGUGAAUGGAGGUGUCUGCCUGUUGUAAAUGUCCUGAAAAAACGUGGAUAUAGAAGACAGAUUUAGUAAGAAACUGGAAUUGUGUUAGGAGAAUGAGAAAGCUGUUUCUGGUGUGGGUGAAACUCAGGAAAUGCAUUUGAGGGAGGACAACACAAAGAACGCAGGAGGGCAAGCAGAGGUGACUCUUUCUUUCUUUUCUGUUAGUUUCCCUGGGAGAAGCAUCUGGACAUAUCCCCCUCUGUCUAACUCUGUCUUUGUGUGGGCGAAGAUGGGUUUUAUGCUUCUUGCAACCACAGGCUGUGUGGGGUACACAGCACCCUGCUGCUCCAGGGCAGCAGCUGUGAAAGAGGAGAGACCUGGUUACACAAAAUAAGAUGAAGCUGGCCAGGAAGCCUGGCUAGAGAAGCUUCUGUACUUUCUUAGAAGAAAAUCUGUUGCUCCGUGGGGUGAACCUCCAAUGCCUCUCCCCGUGCUUGGGAUGCAAAUUGGGCACAGCAUUCUUCCCCCAUGCUACUUGAAAGCCCACCCACCUCUGUUCCUGUGUGGAAAAGCGCUUUGCUUGUUAAUUACACUGUUUUUCAUUCAUUAGAUGUUACAGCUUACUAACAAAGUAGAAUAUGCAUUAGUAUGAUUUAUACUGUAGUACUUACAAAAGCAUAUGAGAUUCUCUAAAGUGAAGUAGGACACUUAUCUGAAGUAAUAAAGAUACACUACACACUGAUGGAAAUAGGUUAGUAGAUAAGGAUAAACUCUACUUUCUGUAUCAUUACCCAUAUUUUUUUGCUAUGCCCAGGCUCCUCAAGUAGGUAAUUUCAUGUUUAUUUUAGUAAUGUUUCAAAGAAUUUAUAUGCCUAUGAAUUGCAGUGUUGAGAACAAGCUUAGUCCACUGUUCCUUGUCUUGCAUAGACACAUAGAUAUAUUGAAAAUACAUCUGAUUAUGUGUGCAGUUAGCAUAUGAUACAAAAGAUUGCUUGUUGUAACAGGAAUUAUGAAAGUUGCUCCGAAAACAAUGCCUCCUAAUUUAUUAUGUAGAUCCAUGACAUCAGAAGUGGAUGCUGGUUGUGUAACAGUAGAGGCUGAACCUUCCCACCAAUAU